rnacentral:rRNA from 1 species
GGAAUAUUGGACAAUGGGCGCAAGCCUGAUCCAGCCAUGCCGCGUGCAGGAUGACGGUCCUAUGGAUUGUAAACUGCUUUUGCACAGGAAGAAACAACGCUACGUGUAGCGUCUUGACGGUACUGUGAGAAUAAGGAUCGGCUAACUCCGUGCCAGCAGCCGCGGUAAUACGGAGGAUCCAAGCGUUAUCCGGAAUCAUUGGGUUUAAAGGGUCCGUAGGCGGUUUAGUAAGUCAGUGGUGAAAGCCCAUCGCUCAACGGUGGAACGGCCAUUGAUACUGCUAGACUUGAAUUAUAAGGAAGUAACUAGAAUAUGUAGUGUAGCGGUGAAAUGCUUAGAGAUUACAUGGAAUACCAAUUGCGAAGGCAGGUUACUACUUAUGGAUUGACGCUGAUGGACGAAAGCGUGGGUAGCGAACAGGAUUAGAUACCCUAG